rnacentral:rRNA from 1 species
UACGGAGGAUCCGAGCGUUAUCCGGAUUCAUUGGGUUUAAAGGGUGCGUAGGCGGCUUUAUAAGUCAGCGGUGAAAGGCUGGGGCUCAACCCUAGCAGUGCCGUUGAUACUGUAGAGCUUGAGAACAGAUGAAGCUGGCGGAAUGUGCAGUGUAGCGGUGAAAUGCAUAGAUAUUGCACAGAAGGCCGAUUGCGAAGGCAGCUGGCUAAGCUGUAUCUGACGCUGAGGCACGAAAGCGUGGGGAUCAAACAGG